GCGGCGCCCAGCGCGGGGAACAGGCGCGCACGCUGCGUGCUCGCGGUUGAGCAUGCAGCGCCGCAGCAGGCCAGGGCCAGCAACGGCACUCAGCCCAAGGCGGCCAGCAGCUUGGGGGUGCUGCGGCCAGGCCGGCGGUGCCGCAGUGCGAGCAGGAGCAAGUCGACAGCAGCAGCUGGGCCAAUUCGGUUUGAAUCCUCUCUUUGCACUUGCCAUUUAAUUCCUGCUCAUUUAUUUAAGCUAAUUGACGGCCACAAGCUGCAAGGUCUGCGCAAUUUGUGGUUUGGAAAGUUACAGGACAUAGAUGGGAGAGGGCUUAUGAAGGUAUGCAUACAUGUCUUUCUCACGCGCAGGACAUGAUGCAAGAGUAUAGAAUUGGUGCAAGAGUAUUGAAAUGAUGCAGGACAUGAUCUCUAAUCUUGUCGUUCUUUAUGCUUAAUGCUCACUUUUUAACGGGACAUGAUGCAAGAGUAUAGAAAUAGAUCAUGGGAUGAAACCUGCAAAUUAACGGCAUAUAACACAUACUAUCUGACAUUGUUGACAUCUUAUCAUAUAACACAUACUGCAUCAAGGUAUCAAGAGAGGGAAAUGUGUGUCGGCACAUGUUUGGUAGCAUAUUGACACGAGAAGGUACGCUCUGGUUGACAACUAUCCUAUCUGGUAAAACAUUAGAAGUUGCUAGCUGAAAUGCUCUUGCUGCGUUCAGGGCUACUUGAAAAAUAUUAGUGCUGAUAUUAGGGCAGUUUUGUGCAAAGAAAUGCACAGGCUUUGUAAUGCUUGGUCCCAGCCUUUUGGACGUGUGGAAUUCAAUGGGGUAGGCGAUGUCUGCGAAUAUGGAUGCCUGCAUUGCCGUAGAGAGCAUAUCAAUUCUUGAGAAGCUCCAUUCUAAAGGUGAGGAUGGAAGUUUCAAUUGUGGGUAUUCAAGCAUUAGAGGUAGAAGAAGACCAGGCAGGGAAGACUUCUAUGACAUCGACUUC